rnacentral:rRNA from 1 species
UGGGGGAAUUUUGGACAAUGGGCGAAAGCCUGAUCCAGCAAUGCCGCGUGUGUGAAGAAGGCCUUCGGGUUGUAAAGCACUUUUGUCCGGAAAGAAAUCCUUGGCUCUAAUACAGUCGGGGGAUGACGGUACCGGAAGAAUAAGCACCGGCUAACUACGUGCCAGCAGCCGCGGUAAUACGUAGGGUGCAAGCGUUAAUCGGAAUUACUGGGCGUAAAGCGUGCGCAGGCGGUUUGCUAAGACCGAUGUGAAAUCCCCGGGCUCAACCUGGGAACUGCAUUGGUGACUGGCAGGCUAGAGUAUGGCAGAGGGGGGUAGAAUUCCACGUGUAGCAGUGAAAUGCGUAGAGAUGUGGAGGAAUACCGAUGGCGAAGGCAGCCCCCUGGGCCAAAUACUGACGCUCAUGCACGAAAAGCGUGGGGGAGCAAAACAGGAUUAGAUACCCUGGUAGUCCACGCCCUAAAACGAUGUCAACUAGUUGUUGGGGAUUCAUUUCCUUAGUAACGUAGCUAACGCGUGAAGUUGACCGCCUGGGGGAGUACGGUCGCAAGAUUAAAAACUCAAAGGAAUUGACGGGGUCAU